UUUAGAGGAAGUAAAAGUCGUAACAAGGUUUCCGUAGGUGAACCUGCGGAGGAUCAUUAUCGAAUAAACAUGAACAGGCUGUUGCUGGUCCUCAGGGAUACGUGCACGCUUGUCAUCUUUGUCAUCUCUCCAACUGUGCACAUAUUGUAGACCCUGAAAUAUGGAUUCAUGCCGAGUUGGGACUGCUGUGCUUCAAAAAGUCGGCUUUCCCUUGGGUCUAUGUCAUUUUUCACAACCUCUUGAACGUGUUUUGAAUGUAAAAUAAGGUCCUUUUGUACCUAUAAAGUUAUAAAUACAACUUUCAGCAACGGAUCUCUUGGCUCUCGCAUCGAUGAAGAACGCAGCGAAAUGCGAUAAGUAAUGUGAAUUGCAGAAUUCAGUGAAUCAUCGAAUCUUUGAACGCAUCUUGCGCUCCUUGGUAUUCCGAGGAGCAUGCCUGUUUGAGUGUCAUUUAAAUUCUCAAACCACAUCGAGUUCUUCCUUGACGUGGCUUUGGACGUGGGGGUUUCUGCAGGCUUUCCUUUCAAGUCGGCUCCCCUGAAAUGCAUUAGUGGUAUCUGGAGCGGAAACUGCUAGGUGUGAUAAUAUAUCAUCUACGCCUUUGGUAUGCCGCAGGAACAGAUUGUGCUGCUUCCAAUUCACAUUUUAUUUUGACAAACUGACCUCAAAUCAGGUAGGACUACCCGCUGAACUUAAGCAUAUCA
rnacentral:rRNA from 1 species